rnacentral:sRNA from 1 species
CAUCGGCUUUGAGCCUGAUGCCUGUUCUGCAUACAUUGUGAAGAGAAGAUUGAUCUGGAGGCUUCCAGGUGUUUUGGGUUUUGCCCGAAACGUCCGAGCCCAGUUCUGCUGAUCCUAUGGAUGGCCUAGCCGGCCGGAGAUAGGGGAAGGACUGGAGGUAGGAAGGGAGCUUGUCGCUCUGGAUCGUUUAUUGUUCGGUGCCUUUGGGCAUUGUCUGAUGAACGAUCGGAUUACCGUUGCCUGACCGCGCGGUAUCGGAUCCAAUCUCGAGAAGCUGGUCUUAAGACCUGACACAAGCGAGCUGCUCGGCGUAGCUCCAAUAAAGUGCUCAGGUCGAACACGUCGAUGGCAU